AUUGAACGCUGGCGGCAGGCCUAACACAUGCAAGUCGAGCGGAUGAAGAGAGCUUGCUCUCUGAUUCAGCGACGGACGGGUGAGUAAUGCUUAGGAAUCUGCCUAUUAGUGGGGGACAACAUUUCGAAAGGAAUGCUAAUACCGCAUACGUCCUACGGGAGAAAGCAGGGGAUCUUCGGACCUUGCGCUAAUAGAUGAGCCUAAGUCGGAUUAGCUAGUUGGUGGGGUAAAGGCCUACCAAGGCGACGAGCUGUAGCGGGUCUGAGAGGAUGAUCCGCCACACUGGGACUGAGACACGGCCCAGACUCCUACGGGAGGCAGCAGUGGGGAAUAUUGGACAAUGGGCGGAAGCCUGAUCCAGCCAUGCCGCGUGUGUGAAGAAGGCCUUAUGGUUGUAAAGCACUUUAAGCGAGGAGGAGGCUACUUUAGUUAAUACCUAGAGAUAGUGGACGUUACUCGCAGAAUAAGCACCGGCUAACUCUGUGCCAGCCGCCGCUGUAACAC
rnacentral:rRNA from 1 species